AUUGGGACUGAGAUACGGCCCAGACUCCUACGGGAGGCAGCAGUGGGGAAUAUUGCACAAUGGGCGCAAGCCUGAUGCAGCGACGCCGCGUGAGGGAUGGAGGCCUUCGGGUUGUAAACCUCUUUUAUCGGGGAGCAAGCGAGAGUGAGUUUACCCGUUGAAUAAGCACCGGCUAACUACGUGCCAGCAGCCGCGGUAAUACGUAGGGUGCAAGCGUUAUCCGGAAUUAUUGGGCGUAAAGGGCUCGUAGGCGGUUCGUCGCGUCCGGUGUGAAAGUCCAUCGCUUAACGGUGGAUCCGCGCCGGGUACGGGCGGGCUUGAGUGCGGUAGGGGAGACUGGAAUUCCCGGUGUAACGGUGGAAUGUGUAGAUAUCGGGAAGAACACCAAUGGCGAAGGCAGGUCUCUGGGCCGUUACUGACGCUGAGGAGCGAAAGCGUGGGGAGCGAACAGGAUUAGAUACCCUGGUAGUCCACGCCGUAAACGGUGGAUGCUGGAUGUGGGGCCCGUUCCACGGGUUCCGUGUCGGAGCUAACGCGUUAAGCAUCCCGCCUGGGGAGUACGGCCGCAAGGCUAAAACUCAAAGAAAUUGACGGGGGCCCGCACAAGCGGCGGAGCAUGCGGAUUAAUUCGAUGCAACGCGAAGAACCUUACCUGGGCUUGACAUGUUCCCGACGGUCGUAGAGAUACGGCUUCCCUUCGGGGCGGGUUCACAGGUGGUGCAUGGUCGUCGUCAGCUCGUGUCGUGAGAUGUUGGGUUAAGUCCCGCAACGAGCGCAACCCUCGCCCCGUGUUGCCAGCGGAUUAUGCCGGGAACUCACGGGGGACCGCCGGGGUUAACUCGGAGGAAGGUGGGGAUGACGUCAGAUCAUCAUGCCCCUUACGUCCAGGGCUUCACGCAUGCUACAAUGGCCGGUACAACGGGAUGCGACGCGGCGACGCGGAGCGGAUCCCUGAAAACCGGUCUCAGUUCGGAUCGCAGUCUGCAACUCGACUGCGUGAAGGCGGAGUCGCUAGUAAUCGCGAAUCAGCAACGUCGCGGUGAAUGCGUUCCCGGGCCUUGUACACACCGCCCGUCAAGUCAUGAAAGUGGGCAGCACCCGAAGCCGGUGGCCUAACCCCUUGUGGGAUGGAGCCGUCUAAGGUGAGGCUCGUGAUUGGGACUAAGUCGUAACAAGGUAGCCGUACCGGAAGGUGCGGCUG
rnacentral:rRNA from 1 species